UACGUAGGCAGCAAGCGUUGUUCGGAAUUACUGGGCGUAAAGAGUGUGUAGGCGGUGCUCUAAGUUUGGUGUGAAAUCUCCCGGCUCAACUGGGAGGGUGCGCCGAAAACUGGAAUGCUUGAACAUGGGAGAGGAAAGCGGAAUUCCUGGUGUAGCGGUGAAAUGCGUAGAUAUCAGGAGGGACACCUGCGGUGUAGACGGCUUUCUGGACCAUUGUUGACGCUGAGACACGAAAGCGUGGGUAGCAAACAGG
rnacentral:rRNA from 1 species